CGCUCAUCCAGAGGGGCAGAGGGACACGGCCCGUUGAAGCCCCGGCAACCCUCCAGUCGGUUCUCGCGAUCGCGCAGCAGCGCUCGUCGACGAGGUCCCCGGCUAGGGAAGGUGCCAAUUCCGUCUCAUGGCGAAAUGCGCCAUGGGGAAGAUGAGGA
rnacentral:ncRNA from 2 species